GUCUACGGCCAUACCACCCUGAACGCGCCCGAUCUCGUCUGAUCUCGGAAGCUAAGCAGGGUCGGGCCUGGUUAGUACUUGGAUGGGAGUAACCACCAAUUUGUUCUCUAUAUAUA
rnacentral:rRNA from 1 species